GACAACGGGAACGUUUGAACUUGGGGUUUUUAAUGGAAAAAGAGAUUUCCCCAUUUGUCAGCAAAAAAUGAGGGGGGUUCUUGUUCAACAGAAAGUGUCUAAAACUAUAACUGGUGAAUAUCCUGCUAUAACUGGUGAAUAUCCUGCUACUAUGACUGAUGAACAAAAGACUGAAUCUGAUGAUCUUACCUAUACUUCCAUUAUUCUUCACUUGUCUGAUCCAGUAUUAAGAAAGGUUGGAAAAUUGGAUAAUGCAAAAGUCUUAUGGGAUAAGCUUGAGGAACUUUGUUUGAUAAAAUCAUUACCAAAUAAACUAUUUCUAUUGGAAAGAUUUUUCAGCUUCAAAAUUAAUAUGUCCCGAGACUUAGAUGAUAACCUUGACAUUUUUAAUAGACUGGUACAAGAUAUAACUAAUGCUGGGGAUAAAGUAUCUGAAGAAUAUAAGGCUGUAAUUUUGUUAAAUUCCAUACCUGAAGUGUAUAAAGAUGUUAAGACAGCUAUUAAGUAUGGUAGAGAGUCUUUAACACCUGAGAUAGUGAUUGAUGCUUUAAGAAGCAAGGAUUUGGAAGUUAGAUGUGAGAGACAUGGCAAUGAAAGUGAGAACCUAUUUGUAAGAGGUAGAUUACUGAUCAGAUCUAGUAAUAAUCAGGGUAACGAAAGGAAUCAAGG
rnacentral:lncRNA from 1 species